rnacentral:lncRNA from 1 species
GUGGCCAGGGAGCCGCAGGCAAGGGACUAAGGGGAGGGGGGCUCAGUGCCAGCUGCUUAAAAAUGCCCCUGUGGCAGCGAGGGGCACCAGAGGCUGGGUCUAAUUAGUUGAGAAGCAGUGACACCCCCAACCACUCCCCAAACAGGCUGGCUCCCGUCUCCAGGCCCCAAGGAGCCACACCUGGACCAGACCCCAGGAAAGGCAAGGGCGCUAGCUGGUGGGAGCCACCCCGCCAUGCUGAUGUCAGAGAAGCAAGAACUCUGGAGAAGCAGCCUCCUGGGACCAGAGGAGGGCCAGCAGCAGGCAGCCCGGAGACAGAACUCUCACCCACGCCUCUCCAAGCCUCCCAACAGAAGACAGAGGUCCCCCACAGCCAGAGACAUUUCCUGAAGACAUGGGGAACACAGAGGCAGAAACAGCCCAUCCACCCAGGAGCUGUCCCCCACACUGCCGGGAGCCGGCACCCAGAGCCGCCAGGUAAAACUGAGGCCACCUGGUUCAACAUCACCUUUCACAGAAGGGGAAGCAGCCACAGAAAGAAGGGCCUCGUUAAGAAGUGGAACCUGGGACCCCCAAGCGGUGUCUCUCAUCCUGACUGGGGAUCCAGAGUAGGAGGGAGCCUUUGGUGGGACACAAAGGAACAGAACGAGGCACCAACAGCAAGGGGCAAGCAGAUUCAAGGGCCACAGAGGAGAUGGAGGCAAACACCUUCCCCUGGUCAGAGGCUGUGCCUCAGCCCUUCUCCCUGCAUCAGUUUCUCCUUCAGAAGCAUGGGACUACCUCCCAUCUAGUUCUCGUUUCUAAACCUAGGGGAGAUGCUAUCUUUGCUGCAAUAAUCUUAGCCUACAUCUUGGAAUGGAAAUGGCCUUGGUGGAAAUGGUCUUCAACUCCUCUGGUCCAAGCUCAGGCCCUGUGACCCUGGAACAAUCCCCUUCCUGGUCCUCCAUGUAGGAGCAAUAACAUUCCCUUGCCAGCAGCACCAGCCAUUCUGAUGAUUAAAUGGUAUCGGACUCUGUUUUCCAAACUCAGUCAUUCAGAUGCCCCCUAUUUUAUUUCUUCCAUGUCUGCAAAUGAUUAUAAUAUUUUUAAAUGUAGGAUGAGUCCUUUUUAUUACACAUAGAAAUAGCUACUGUAAAUAGCAAACUCUAACACUGUGCCUAAUUAGGAAAUAAAGGUAACCAUAAAUACAGUAAAAA